CGGUCUUCUGAAGGCUGAUUAACUGCUUAGAGCCUCAGUGACUGUGGAGAGGUUGGAAUGUGGCAAGUCCAGAGUCAAAUUAUCUUGGGCUAAUCUUUACCCUUCCAUAAUAGACAUUUGUUUUGCUCUUCUUUGGAAUGCAACAACAGACCCUAGCUCCCACCAGCCAGAAGUCUAUCAGGCUGGAGGAAAGUCACAGGGAUGUUGCUUGAGAGCAUCUGACACCCAGAAUUGAGUUUCCCCCUUUUUCUUCUAGCCGCCUACCUGAUGUGCCCACCAGUGACUUUUUGAAGUGCGUUGAUUUUCUCUGUUCAGUUACUAUAACAACUCCACCAGACUGUUACCAUGCCGGAACGUGGAAUUCAGAGUGAAUCCGUGUCCCCAGGCCAUGGCCACUUGCACUUGACUCCGGAAUAAGCUUCUCUUUGAGAUGAGAGCUGAGCUUUUACAUCAGUAGAAGAGAAUCAAUCUAGUCCAGGCCUUUGUGGAUCCCAAACCAAAUUCUUAGUUAGGCCUAUGCCACUUCCUGCCCAAAUGAAGAGUCUGGAAAGGUGCUCUGUGACCAUUGGCUCUUCUCCCAACUGUCUCUGAGGACUUCAUCAGCCAGGGAGCAGGUGGUGAGAACCCAGUAUGGUGCUGUUAUUACAGCAGAGAAUGCAGAAGGCAGGAGCCCAAGGGUCUCUCAUUGAGCCUGGAGUCCACUGAUUGGCUAGACCAACUGGCCAGAAACCCCUGGGGAUCCACCGGCCACCGCUUCCCCAGCAUGGGGGUUACAGGCUGUGCCAUCAUGGCCAGUGUUUCAGACAUGUGAUGGGAAUCUGAACUUAGAUCAUGCUUGCCUGGCAGCACACCAGUACUGAAGGCCACUCAGGCAGUACACGGGAUCUUGAAAAUUAGAAGUAAACUCUAGAUGUCUCCAUCGUGACUCGACAAGAGAAACAACAGCCCCCCUCUCAGCUCCACCUUUGCCAAUGCCAGCUAAGGUGCUCACGAACUCCUGGCUUCACAGAGGACAGAGGUCAAAAGCCAUCCUAGGAGGUACAAGAGAAUGACCCAGUCUCCUAGAGGAGAGAGUCUCAACUGGGCCACCUUCUGUUCAGGUGGCAUCUGGUUGGGAAAUACGUAUUAGAAACAUUUUUUUUUCUAAAAUAGCGAAAAAUGUGUCACACAGAGAGAAAUUGACAAGCACAGUUACACCGUGAGAUUCCUACACUUGGGUGCUCUGUAAUGUGUCCUCAAGUUUGCUUAACCAAUAAAAUGCAAAAUGGUA